rnacentral:rRNA from 1 species
GCCCUAGUAACGGCGAGUGAAGCGGCAACAGCUCAAAUUUGAAAUCUGGCGUCUUCGGCGUCCGAGUUGUAAUUUGCAGAGGGCGCUUUGGCAUUGGCAGCGGUCCAAGUUCCUUGGAACAGGACGUCACAGAGGGUGAGAAUCCCGUACGUGGUCGCUAGCCUCUACCGUGUAAAGCCCCUUCGACGAGUCGAGUUGUUUGGGAAUGCAGCUCUUAAUGGGAGGUAAAUUUCUUCUAAAGCUAAAUACUGGCCAGAGACCGAUAGCGCACAAGUAGAGUGAUCGAAAGAUGAAAAGCACUUUGGAAAGAGAGUUAAAAAGCACGUGAAAUUGUUGAAAGGGAAGCGCUUGCAGCCAGACUUGCCUGUAGUUGCUCAUCUAGGUUUUUACCUAGUGCACUCUUCUAUAGGCAGGCCAGCAUCAGUUUGAGCGGUUGGAUAAAGGUCUCUGUCAUGUACCUCUCUUCGGGGAGAACUUAUAGGGGGAGACGACAUGCAACCA